GGCCAUCCAGCGACCACAGCAGUGGGGCCUCCUCUCCCCUCUUUGACAGCGGUUUGCAUCUGAACGGAAACUCCAGUACCACAGUGGAAUGCGUUCGAGGUGCUCGCCCUGGACGGAGUCAGCUCUGGGAUCCUCCGGUUUUACACAGCCCAGGAUGGCACCGACUGGCUGCGGGCGGUCUCAGCCAACAUCAGGGAGCUGACACUUCAGAACAUGAAGAUGGCGAACAAAUGCUGCUCUCCUUCCGACCAGGUUGUGCAUAUGGGGUGGGUAAAUGAGAAACUCCAAGGAGCUGACUCCUCUCAAACCUUCAGACCCAAGUUCCUAGCACUGAAGGGCCCGUCCUUCUACGUUUUCAGCACUCCUCCGAGCUAAGAUAUUCAUGCCAGCUCAUCUCAGAGGUAUUGAAAGACUCGGAGGAGGUGGCUGGCACCGCAUGUACCCAACCUGGACCACGUACCACUGACACUGGAGAUGCAUGAA
rnacentral:lncRNA from 1 species